CACAAACAAAAAGCAGAGAUCAGAUCCGGAGAUCUAGAUAGCGAAGGCAACAGCAACAGCGCCGGCGACAGCGAUCCAGCUGGCGGCGGCCAUAGAGGCAGCGCUCGGUGGGGUAGUGGCGGAAGGAGAGACGCCAGGAGCACCGCCGAUGGAGGGAGUUGUAGCACCGGGGGAGGACGCCGGGGCGCUGGGAGCCGGCGGAGAGGUGACUGGAGCAGAUGAGGGAACGGCGGCGGGUGGGGAGACAGGAGCUAUGGUAGGAGGUGAGACGGGGGCGGCGGCGGGAGGCGUCACGGGAGGUUUGGCGGGCGGGGAGAUGGGAGCUGGUUUCGGAGGUGAGACAGUGGGGGCGGCCGCUGGGGCUUGGGCGAAGGCGGUGGCGGCGAGGAGAGAGAGCGCCAGAGCGAGGAUUUGGACCGAUGAAAUCGCCAUUGUUAAGAUCUGAGAGAGAGGGGG
rnacentral:misc_RNA from 1 species